rnacentral:misc_RNA from 1 species
AAGUCGUAACAAGGUUUCCGUAGGUGAACCUGCGGAAGGAUCAUUAGGAAUGAAUGGAGGAGAGGAGAGGAGAGGGGAGGGGAGGGCGCAGCGGAGGCGUCUGCAGCCGCCGCCCACCUACCUGCCCACUCACUCACUCACUCACCCACUACUACUCACCUUGUGCACUGUCCUGUCUUGUGGCCGCAGCAUGGCCUGGUCUGGGGCGGCGUGCUGCUUAGGCGGCGCGCACGCUGCAGGCGCGGUCGCGGCCACAUUAGAUAUCAUCCACCUACAUUGCGUACCUAUGCAUGCAUACAUACAUACCUAACCACUCGACUGUGCAACUAGGGCGGCGCGCGCUAUGCCUGCCGCCCGGCCAGGAUUCAUUGACAACUUUUAGCAACGGAUCUCUAGGCUCUU